GGUCCGGUAGCUCAGCUGGAUAGAGCAUCAGAUUUCUAAUCUGACGGCCAGGGGUUCGAAUCCCUUCCGGAUCA
rnacentral:tRNA from 1 species